rnacentral:rRNA from 1 species
AAUAGAUACCCUGGUAGUCCACGCCCUAAACGAUGUCGACUGGGUGUUGGGGAAGCGAUUUCCCAGUACCGUAGCUAACGCGUGAAGUCGACCGCCUGGGGAGUACGGCCGCAAGGUUAAAACUCAAAGGAAUUGACGGGGACCCGCACAAGCGGUGGAUGAUGUGGAUUAAUUCGAUGCAACGCGAACAACCUUACCUACCCUUGACAUGUGCCGAAGCCCGCCGAGAGGCGGGGGUGCCCGAAAGGGAACGGCAACACAGGUGCUGCAUGGCUGUCGUCAGCUCGUGUCGUGAGAUGUUGGGUUAAGUCCCGCAACGAGCGCAACCCUUGUCCCUAGUUGCUACGCAAGGGCACUCUAGGGAGACUGCCGGUGACAAACCGGAGGAAGGUGGGGAUGACGUCAAGUCCUCAUGGCCCUUAUGGGGUAGGGCUUCACACGGUCAUACAAUGGCCGGUACAGAGGGUUGCCAAGCCGCGAGGCGGAGCCAAUCCCCGUAAAAGCCGGUCGUAGUCCGGNUUGCAGUCUGCAACUCGACUGCAUGAAGUCGG